CCCCGAGGGAGCCAGGGGCCGCUGCGUCCGAGCAGGCGGGGUUCGAGCCCGGCCCGGCACGGUCCGAAGUCCGCGCUAUGGGAGAAGAGAAAUACUUGCCUGAGCUGAUGGCAGAGAAGGAUAGCCUGGAUCCAUCUUUUGUGCACGCGUCGCGCCUUCUGGCGGAAGAAAUUGAGAAAUUUCAAGGUUCAGAUGGAAAAAAAGAAGAUGAGGAAAAGAAAUAUCUCGAUGUCAUCAGCAACAAAAAUAUAAAGCUUUCCGAAAGAGUAUUGAUUCCUGUUAAACAAUACCCAAAGUUCAAUUUUGUGGGAAAAUUGCUUGGACCAAGAGGAAACUCCUUGAAGAGGCUACAGGAAGAAACAGGCGCUAAAAUGUCUAUCCUGGGCAAAGGAUCGAUGCGAGAUAAAGCAAAGGAAGAAGAGCUGAGGAAGAGCGGGGAGGCCAAGUAUGCCCAUCUGAGCGAUGAGCUGCAUGUACUAAUUGAAGUGUUUGCUCCUCCCGGGGAAGCUUAUUCACGGAUGAGUCAUGCCUUGGAAGAGAUUAAAAAAUUCCUGGUGCCUGACUACAAUGAUGAAAUCCGUCAAGAACAGCUCCGGGAGUUGUCUUACUUAAACGGCUCAGAAGAGUCUGGCCGUGGCCGGGGUAUUAGAGGCAGAGGGAUCAGAAUAGCUCCCACAGCCCCUUCCAGGGGCCGUGGGGGUGCUCUUCCCCCCCCACCACCACCUGGACGAGGUGUUCUCACCCCUCGGGGUACCACUGUGACCCGUGGAGCUCUCCCAGUGCCCCCAAUAGCUAGAGGUGUCCCUACACCUCGAGCCCGGGGGACGGCAGCAAUACCGGGAUACCGAGCACCCCCUCCUCCAGCUCAUGAGGCUUAUGAAGACUAUGGGUAUGAUGAUGGCUAUGGAGGAGAGUAUGAUGACCAGACCUAUGAGGUUUAUGAUAACAGCUACAUGACCCCAACACAAAGUGUGCCUGAAUACUAUGACUAUGGUCAUGGAGUAAAUGAGGAUGCCUAUGACAGCUACGCACCUGAAGAAUGGGCCACAACUCGCUCCAGCCUGAAGGCACCACCACCAAGGUCAGCCAGAGGGGGAUACAGGGAACACCCCUAUGGUAGAUAUUGAAGGUCCGCUUCACCUGUGACCUCCUCAAAGACAGUUCAUAGCCUGUGGUGUCCACAUAAACAGCAACAAGACAAGUCAGCACAAUGAACACAUAAAUGGUAGCAGAUGUGAUGGACUAAGAGGGAUCAAGGACUGAAUUCCUUUGUAUGAUUGAAUAGUAUUCUGCUAUGCAUAUGGACAACACUUAGUUUAUCCAUUCCUCAGCUGAUGGCCAUUUUGGUGUUUCCAUGUGUUGACUACUGUAAACAGAGCUGCAGUGAACACAGGAAUGCAGACUAAAGAAGAAGUUAAUUUGGCCAGGCACUGAAAGAGAUGGCAUCAUGAAAGAGAUGAGAUUGGAUGGAAUGGUCAGAUGUGAACAAAAAGUAAAACUACGAAUCUUUGAACCUUCAGCUGGGUCAUAACUACCGAGUACAGAGCAUUGUCCUGGAGAAUAAGUGCAAAUCACAGAUGUCUGUAAACCAGGUCUCCACCUCCAGGACUGUAGAAUCUGGAGGGAAAAUAAAGCUUAAAAUGCACAGAGGAACAAUACUGAUUUUCAUUAUUGAAAUAUUCAAAUGGUAACCGAGUUGUCAGAUUCAUCAAAGAAUUUAUAUGUUGACUGUAACACAGCUUUGUUGAGACUGCCAGAAGUCCCCAUGUGAACUGAGGAUAAAAAUCCCCUGCAGCUUGAACUACUGGAUUAGAAGGAAAUUUCUAAAUUCAGUAUGUUAAUGAAGACAACCCAUUGAUGAGAAAAAUCAACUGAAAUUCACAGUGUUUUGCAGCUGAUACAACUAACUUGAACUAAAGCAUUUUUCUUUUUUGGAGUAGAGAAUAAUGGCAAGGUGGUAAAAACCCAAAUUCAUAAGGGAAAAAGUUAAACACGAGCUGUUUUUACGGGCCACCUAACAUUCGGUGUCUGGGCUAAAGUUAGUAAAAGUGUAUAAAGGAAUAAACCAAGUCCUGGCGCUAUAAAAAGCAAUCCAAUAGUUGAGAUCUUUAAAUAAA